AGAGUUUGAUCCUGGCUACAGAACGAACGCUGGCGGCAGGCUUAACACAUGCAAGUCGAACGGGUGUAGCAAUACAUCAGUGGCAGACGGGUGAGUAACACGUGGGAACCUUCCUAGGGGUACGGAACAACUCAGGGAAACUUGAGCUAAUACCGUAUACGUCCGUGAGGAGAAAGAUUUAUCGCCCUUAGACGGGCCCGCGUCGGAUUAGCUAGUUGGUGGGGUAACGGCCUACCAAGGCGACGAUCCGUAGCUGAUCUUAGAGGAUGAUCAGCCACACUGGGACUGAGACACGGCCCAGACUCCUACGGGAGGCAGCAGUGGGGAAUCUUGGACAAUGGGCGCAAGCCUGAUCCAGCCAUGCCGCGUGAGUGAAGAAGGUCUUCGGAUUGUAAAGCUCUUUUGCCAGGGACGAUAAUGACGGUACCUGGAGAAUAAGCCCCGGCAAACUUCGUG
rnacentral:rRNA from 1 species